CUUUUUACAGCAACCAUAACUCGGUUUCUUAUUAUCUUUAACGAUAACCUAGAUGGUCUUUGAUUUUUCAUUACACACUCUCAUAAUUAGCACGUUAAAGAAGCUUUGGAAAGCUGAGUGAGCAUUGCAAAAAAAUUUUAAAUGGAAGUAGACAAAUUGACUCUUUUCUGCAAUGUUCGGAGGAAAUAGUUCCUUUCUGUAUAAUCCUUAUUUGAAAGUUUAGGAUUUGCGGAACCCUUUUUUUUCUUUUCCACCCGGUCCGAUAGUUGUAAAGGGGACAAAUUUAUUUUUGUCCGUUUACAAAAAUAAAGAAGUAAAGCAGUGUAACUAAAGGGGAAAACAUUGAGUUUUAUGGUAAAAGAUCCUAUGUUCCAUUAAACAUCGAAAAAGGUUUGUUGGCUUUGAAUUUGAAUGAAGUUACAUGCAGUUAAGUUAGCGAAACGAUCGAUUGGAAAUUCCUAAACAAUCGGUAUGGUAUGGGAUGGGACUAAAUAAUUGGAGGAACUUGCUAUAAGGUAAUUAAUAAUAUAAAGAAGCCGAUAAUAUACAGUAUGGUAAUAGAAACAAAGCAAUGAAUCUUGCUCAGUCAUUACUAGUUUGCUCUCUAGGGUUAAAUUAGUUGGAUCAGUAAUUUUCAAUCGAAACAAAAAUAUUUAAAUAAAUACGA